AUUGAACGCUGGCGGCAUGCCUUACACAUGCAAGUCGAACGGUAACGCGGGGCAACCUGGCGACGAGUGGCGAACGGGUGAGUAAUACAUCGGAACGUGCCCGAUCGUGGGGGAUAACGAGGCGAAAGCUUUGCUAAUACCGCAUACGAUCUACGGAUGAAAGCGGGGGAUCUUCGGACCUCGCGCGGACGGAGCGGCCGAUGGCGGAUUAGGUAGUUGGUGGGAUAAAAGCUUACCAAGCCGACGAUCUGUAGCUGGUCUGAGAGGAUGAUCACCCACACUGGGACUGAGACACGGCCCAGACUCCUACGGGAGGCAGCAGUGGGGAAUUUUGGACAAUGGGGGAAACCCUGAUCCAGCCAUGCCGCGUGCAGGAUGAAGGCCUUCGGGUUGUAAACUGCUUUUGUACGGAACGAAAAGGUCUCUUCUAAUAAAGGGGGCCCAUGACGGUACCGUAAGAAUAAGCACCGGCUAACUACGUGCCAGCAGCCGCCGUAA
rnacentral:rRNA from 1 species